rnacentral:rRNA from 1 species
AACGAACGUUGGCGGUGUGCCUAAUACAUGCAAGUCGAGCGAGAAAGCCGGGGCAACUCGGCGAGUACAGCGGCGGAAGGGUGCGUAAUACAUGGAUAACGUACCCCCCAGUUCGGGAUAACUGUCCGAAAGGUCAGCUAAUACCGGGUAAUGGCAACGGGUGGCAUCACUUGUUGCUUAAAGCCGUAAGGCGCUGGGGGAGCGAUCCAUGGCCUAUCAGCUAGUUGGCGGGGUAACGGCCCACCAAGGCAAUGACGGGUAGCCGGACUGAGAGGUUGAACGGCCACACGGGAACUGAGACACGGUCCCGACAUCUACGGAUGG